rnacentral:rRNA from 1 species
CGUAACAAGGUUUCCGUAGGUGAACCUGCGGAAGGAUCAUUACAGUAUUCUUUUUGCCAGCGCUUAAUUGCGCGGCGAAAAAACCUUACACACAGUGUUUUUUGUUAUUACAAGAACUCUUGCUUUGGUCUGGACUAGAAAUAGUUUGGGCCAGAGGUUUACUAAACUAAACUUCAAUAUUUAUAUUGAAUUGUUAUUUAUUUUAAUUGUCAAUUUGUUGAUUAAAUUCAAAAAAUCUUCAAAACUUUCAACAACGGAUCUCUUGGUUCUCGCAUCGAUGAAGAACGCAGCGAAAUGCGAUAAGUAAUAUGAAUUGCAGAUUUUCGUGAAUCAUCGAAUCUUUGAACGCACAUUGCGCCCUUUGGUAUUCCAAAGGGCAUGCCUGUUUGAGCGUCAUUUCUCUCUCAAACCUUCGGGUUUGGUAUUGAGUGAUACUCUUAGUCGAACUAGGCGUUUGCUUGAAAUGUAUUGGCAUGAGUGGUACUGGAUAGUGCUAUAUGACUUUCAAUGUAUUAGGUUUAUCCAACUCGUUGAAUAGUUUAAUGGUAUAUUUCUCGGUAUUCUAGGCUCGGCCUUACAAUAUAACAAACAAGUUUGACCUCAAAUCAGGUAGGACUACCCGCUGAACUUAAGCAUAUCAUAGCCGGAAGGAA